GGGGAUGUGUGGAGACUGGAGGUGGUGUGAGAUGAAGAUGGAGCCUGCCGCGCGAUCAUCACAGAUGUGGAAAGAGUUCGGUAGACUGACAGGCUGGGAAGGAGAUGUCAAAGCCGACUGCGCACAGCGUCUCCGAGACGUGUUGGACCGCGUGAAGUUGGAGACCGGCUGUGGAGAUGAUACUGUGUCAGCUCUGCUGUCGCUGCUGGGUGAGGACGACGCAGUGUUCCCAACAAACAUGGAGGCGUGGCCUUGUAUUGUGGGCGAGAACCUGUGUGUGGAAAAAAACGGAGGUCGUGAAGACGAACGGGCUAAGCAGCCAGGACAAACUGCUCCUGUGGGGAAUCGUUUUCUCCGUCCUGUCACAGAAAAUGACAUUCACGGCAUGCCAGUGUACGGCCACCCUCAUGAACGUUCAUGUGCUGAGGGCGGAUGAGAUAGGCUCCAUGCCAAAGAGGCUCCGAGCUGCCUGGAGUAGGCUGACUGCUCCAACUAAGUAGGUGACAAAAAGAUGACGUUCAGUUGAGUUCAUGAGCCUGCUUUCCUGUUCAUUGUGACUUGUGAGUUAGGGCUCCAGGCGGCGCGGAGUCUCUUUACCAUAGUGCUUUGGUUAUCAUACCAAGAUUGUUUAGAAAAGAACAUUGCUUUGUUUGUCUUUGUUCUCUUGUGUCCAUCGAGUCUCGUGACCGCCCGAUUCGGUGACCGCUUGUCACCUGACUGGAUCUGGGUGGGACAGUCACCGGGCUGUGAAGACUCUGGUGUCAGUCUGGCGACCGCCCUCCCCCCCAUGUCUGGUGUCUGGUCUGGUAUAUGUUGUCAGCAGAGUCCGGUGACCACCCGUGCACUUGAGAAAGCGCCACUCACAGUUGCCGCAAUUUUUGUUAAUAACAUUUGUUUAUUGCUCGUCUCGGACGUUACAAAAUAAAUUGUCUUUAUUUAAGGAAUGCUUUGCUUUGU